GGGUCGUUAGCUCAGUCGGUAGAGCAGUUGGCUUUUAACCAAUUGGUCGUAGGUUCGAGUCCUACACGACCCACCA
rnacentral:tRNA from 1 species